CCCUUAGAUGUCCUGGGCCGCACGCGCGCUACACUGAACGGAUCAGCGCGUUUUCCCUUCCCGAGAGGGACGGGUAACCUGCUGAACCCCGUUCGUGGUAGGGAUCGGGGCUUGCAAUUAUUCCCCGUGAACCAGGAAUGCCCAGUAAGUGCAAGUCAUAAGCUUGCGUUGAUUACGUCCCUGCCCUUUGUACACACCGCCCGUCGCUGCUACCGAUUGAACGUUUUAGUGAGGUACUCGGACUGAGCCUCAGAAGAUUCACGUCUUUUGUGCUGCUCGGGAAGAUUCCCAAACUUGAGCGUUUAGAGGAAGUAAAAGUCGUAACA
rnacentral:rRNA from 1 species